rnacentral:rRNA from 1 species
CCCUUAGACGUUCUGGGCCGCACGCGCGCUACACUGAUGUGUCCAGUAAGCACCUAACCUAUUCCGAGAGGAGCGGGUAACCUUAGCAAAGCACAUCGUGAUGGGGAUAGAUUAUUGCAAUUAUUAGUCUUGAACGAGGAAUUCCUAGUAAGCACAAGUCAUCAGCUUGUGUUGAUUACGUCCCUGCCCUUUGUACACACCGCCCGUCGCUCCUACCGAUUGAAUGUUCCGGUGAGCUCUUCGGACUGCGCGGUCUGCAGUUUCUGCGUUCCGUGCGGAAAGUUGUGCAAACCUUAACAUUUAGAGGAAGGAGAAGUCGUAACA